rnacentral:rRNA from 1 species
CCUACGGGUGGCAGCAGUGGGGAAUAUUGGGCAAUGGAGGCAACUCUUACCCAGCAAUGCCGCGUGAAUGAAGAAGGUCUUCGGAUUGUAAAGUUCUUUAAUUGGGGACGAAAAAAAUGACGGUAUCCAAGGAAGAAGCCCCGGCUAACUACGGGCCAGCAGCCGCGGUAAUACGUAGGGGGGAAGCGUUGUUCGGAAUGACUGGGCGUAAAGGGUGUGUGGGUGGUGUAGCAAGAUAGAAGUGAAAUACCUAGAGCGUAACUCAGGUGCUGCUUCUAAAAUUGCUAUAUUUGAGUGCAGUAGAGGAAAGUGGAAUUCCUAGUGUAGCGGUGGAAUGCGUAGAUA